rnacentral:rRNA from 1 species
GACGAACGCUGGCGGCGUGCUUAACACAUGCAAGUCGAACGCUGAAGUCCUGGCUUUUGUUGGGUUGGGUGAGUGGCGAACGGGUGAGUAACACGUGAGUAACCUGCCCUCUUCUUUGGGAUAACGCCCGGAAACGGGUGCUAAUACUGGAUAUUCACUGAUCUUCGCAUGGGGGAUGGUGGAAGGGUUUGUUCUGGUGGGGGAUGGGCUCGCGGCCUAGCAGCUUGGUGGUGGGGUGAUGGCCUACCUAGGGUGUGACGGGUAGCCGGCCUGGGUGGGUGACCCGUGACAUUGGGCCCGGGACACGGUCCAGACGGCUACGGGAGUCAGCAGUGGGGAAUAAUGCACGAUGGGCGAACGCCUGAUGCAGCGACGCGGCGUGAGGGAUGGAGGCCCUCGGGUUGUAAACCUCUUUCGCGCAUGGUCAAGCCGCAACUGUGGGUUGUGGUGAGGGUAGUGGGUAAAGAAGCGCCGGCUAACUACGUG